rnacentral:lncRNA from 1 species
UGACACCGCCUACGAGAUCUUCAUCGCCGCCUUUCGUACAUCCUCCGACAAACCCCUCACAUACAUUCCCAGCAACAGCGCCGACCGUGGGUCUCCAUCUCCGUCGCCGUCAUCGCUAUCGAGCUCGCCAUCGGUGCAGCACCGAUCCGUCACUUCUACUGCCGCUUCGAAAAUGAAAAAGGCGUUAGGGCUCCGAUCUAGCUCCAGUUCGGGUUUGAGUCCG